rnacentral:sRNA from 1 species
UCAUAGGUCCUCUCCGGCCUCACAGCUGAUG